rnacentral:lncRNA from 1 species
UUUUUUUUUGUUGUUGUUGUUGUUUUUCUUUUUUGUGUGUGUUAUUGUUUUUUAAGACAGAGUCUUACUCUGUCACCCAGGCUAGAGUGCAGUGGUGCAAUCUCGGCUUGCUGCAACCUUCGCUUCCCAGGUUCAAGUGAUUCUUGUGCCUCAACCUCCCCCAUAGCUGGGAUCACAGGCAUGCACUACUAUACCCAGCUAAUUUUUGUAUUUUUCAUAGAGGUAGGGUUGGACCAUGUUGGCCAGGCUGGUCCUGGUCUCAGGUGAUCUGUUCAUCUUAGCCUCCAAAAGUGCUGGGAUUACAGGUGUGAGCCACCACACACCGCCCUUCCUCAACUUUCCUCCUCCCCCGAAGUCCAGCCUCUUCCCAAGCCUGGAGACCCAAGGCACAUUACUCCUCAGCUGGACCAGGCUUACCCCAGUCUGGCCUCAGUUUUCACUCUUGCCUUAUCUUCCACAACUGCCAUUAAUGUACUCGCAGCUGCAGGCAAAUCAGACCAUUGAGCAGUUUCCUAAACAUACCCUGCUUACCUGCAUCCAUGCCUCUAUUUUGGCUGAUCCCUCUACUUGAAAUACCUCUUCACCAAAUUCUAACGCUGAGGUCAUCUCCUCCAUGGAGCCUUCCCUUAUCUCACAAAAUCCAUACAAUCUCCCUUGUUUGACUCAUUGUAAUACUUGACACAUUGCUCACCUUCACCCCAUUGUCAGAAAGGCCUUACUCAUCUCUAUCCUGGAAUCCCGCACAGUUUCUUGUUUCCAGUAGGUGCUCAGUACAUGCUCAGUAGUUAGAAUUGGUAGUAGGUAGAUAGAAUUGUAAGUGAAAGGGAGACAGAUCUCAAUAACCGUUGUUUGUUUUUUUGAGUAGAUAGAAUUGUAGGUGAAAGGGAGACGGAUCUCAAUAACCUUUGUUUGUUUGUUUUUUUGAGAUGUGGUCUGGCUGUGUUGCCCAGGCCGGAGUGCAGAGGCCCAAUCUUGGCUGAUUGCAACCUCCUCCUCCCAGGUUCAAGUGAUUCAGCGAUUCUCGUGCCUUAGCCUCCUGAGUGGCUAGAAUUACAGGUGCGUGCCACCACACCUGGCUAAUUUUUGUAUAUUUGGUAGAGACGGAGUUUCACCAUAUUGGAGGCUGGUCUGGAAUUCCUGACCUCAAAGGCAGAUCUCAGUAACCUUUGAUCUCUGCCCAAGGUGACACUCCUCCAGCAAGAGCUAAUUUGAAACCUGGUAGUGUGGGUUCCAGGAAGGCUCUGGGAUGAAUCUUCCUGGAUAGCUCUGACCAGUGUCUUCCCUCCGGUUCAGAAACCCAAAGAGGAGACCUUCCUCCACUGAACCGAGGCCAGCGGCCCA